GAUGAACGCUGGCGGCGUGCCUAAUACAUGCAAGUCGAGCGAACAGACGAGGAGCUUGCUCCUCUGACGUUAGCGGCGGACGGGUGAGUAACACGUGGAUAACCUACCUAUAAGACUGGGAUAACUUCGGGAAACCGGAGCUAAUACCGGAUAAUAUAUUGAACCGCAUGGUUCAAUAGUGAAAGACGGUUUUGCUGUCACUUAUAGAUGGAUCCGCGCCGCAUUAGCUAGUUGGUAAGGUAACGGCUUACCAAGGCAACGAUGCGUAGCCGACCUGAGAGGGUGAUCGGCCACACUGGAACUGAGACACGGUCCAGACUCCUACGGGAGGCAGCAGUAGGGAAUCUUCCGCAAAGGGCGAAAUCCUGACGGAGCAACGCCGCGUGAGUGAUGAAGGUCUUCGGAUCGUAAAACUCCGUUAUUAGGGAAGAACAAAUGUGUAAGUAACUAUGCACGUCUUGACGGUACCUAAUCAGAAAGCCACGGCUAACUACGUG
rnacentral:rRNA from 1 species